rnacentral:tRNA from 1 species
UCCCUAGUACUCAGAGGUAAAGAAUCUGCCUGCAAUGCAGGAAACCCAGGUUCGAUCCCUGGGUGGGGAA